ACUAAUAGGUGCUCUGCAAUGGGAUGGGAUCUGAAGCCCUCCGAGGGAUAAUACAGGCUCUCCCAUCCAAAUCUUAUUCCGACACGUCCUCGUCGUGCAGAGUGGUAACAUGUGCCUCCAUAUAUCCUAGCUUGGGUACACGGGCUAGA
rnacentral:ribozyme from 1 species